AACGAACGCUGGCGGCAUGCCUAACACAUGCAAGUCGAACGAGACCUUCGGGUCUAGUGGCGCACGGGUGCGUAACGCGUGGGAAUCUGCCCUUGGGUUCGGAAUAACAGUUAGAAAUGACUGCUAAUACCGGAUAAUGUCUUCGGACCAAAGAUUUGUCGACCAGGGAUGAGCCCGCGUAGGAUUAGCUAGUUGGUGAGGUAAAGGCUCACCAAGGCGACGAUCCUUAGCUGGUCUGAGAGGAUGAUCAGCCACACUGGGACUGAGACACGGCCCAGACUCCUACGGGAGGCGGCAGUGGGGAAUAUUGGACAAUGGCGAAAGCCUGAUCCAGCAAUGCCGCGUGAGUGAUGAAGGCCUUAGGGUUGUAAAGCUCUUUUACCCGGGAUGAUAAUGACAGUACCGGGAGAAUAAAGCCCCGGCUAACUCCGUGCCAGCAGCCGCGGUAAU
rnacentral:rRNA from 1 species